rnacentral:rRNA from 1 species
AUUGAACGCUGGCGGCAGGCUUAACACAUGCAAGUCGAACGAGUGGCGGGCGGGUGAGUAAUACUUGGGAAUCUCGCUUAUGGAGGGGGCUAACUACGGGAAACUGUAGCUAAUACCGCGUACCAUAGGAUGAGCCCAAGUGGGAUUCGGUAGUUGGUGAGGUAAAGGCUCACCAAGCCGACGAGCUCUAGCUGGUCUGAGAGGAUGACCAGUCACACUGGGGCUAAGACACGCCCCAGACUCCGACGGGAGGCAGCAGUGGGGAAUAUUGCGCAAUGGGGGCAACCUGACGCAGCCAUGCGGCGUGAAUGAAGAAGGCCUUCGGGUUGUAAAGUACUUUCGGUAGCGAGGCGUUAACUACAGAAGAAGCACCGGCUAACUCCGUGCCAGCCGCCGCGGUAAUAC